rnacentral:rRNA from 1 species
AUUGAACGCUGGCGGCAUGCCUUACACAUGCAAGUCGAACGGCAGCACGGGGGCAACCCUGGUGGCGAGUGGCGAACGGGUGAGUAAUGCAUCGGAACGUGCCCAGUAGUGGGGGAUAACUAGUCGAAAGAUUAGCUAAUACCGCAUACGACCUACGGGUGAAAGCGGGGGAUGCUAGCACUUAAUGUUUUGGGAUGGCUACUUGUGGCCGCCUCGGGACAGUCUCAGGUGAG